GCCUGGCUGCGAGGCCCUUCCUCUUUUCAUGACUCUGGGAGGCUCUGGACUAAACAAGAGCAGCGUCUACAGUGACUGCCGUGGGCUGCUGCACCUGAGUCCAGGAUCCCACUUGUUUCUACCCCCUGCGCAUCCCAGGCCUUUCUUCACCUCCAGAAGCAGUGGUUUCGGAGCUGCCUAUUUCUGUCUAAAAGUGGCGUCUGCAGUAGCCCAUGUUGUGCUGCUUCUGCCAAUGGCCAGGAUGGGCGUGGGCAGGGACUCCUGAUGGGUGGACGUGACGGGGCCACCUUAGGAAGUCCACCAGCCCCUUCCAAGUGUUCAUUGUUGGACAAGGCUUUUUUUUUUUUUUUUGGAAAGAAACCUGGCUAGAGAGGGGGAGAGUGUGGGGCCCACAGUGGAAAAGCCUUGGCCGGGCAGCCAGGCCUCUCUGCUGGGCCCACGUUUGCUCUCUUGAUGCCUCAGACCCCAGGAAGCCCAGAGACCACAGGUCGGCUCCAAGUUCAUGUUUCUCCCUUUUCCUUAGACAUGACAUCCUCGGAAACAUCUCGUAAUCAGCAGCUUUCGGAAGUAAAUCAUUGUGAGCUGGAAGGACGGGAAACAUAUCUGGGGAGCUGGGGUUGGGGGUGGAGAGCCUCUUGGGGGGCAGAGGUGGGUUGGGCACCACUCCACAACUGGGGAUGAAAUAAAGAGAGACAGAACUCACAUGCAUAUGAGUGGCUUUUCCAUGUCACCUGUCUUCUUGGGAGAGGCCUAGACAAUGCAGCUGUGGAUGUGAUUAAUGAGCCACCGGCCACACCUGGCACAGCGGUGCAGGUGGAAGCCAGGGAACUUCCCUUUCUCCCUGUCAGUUAUCCUGCGCUGUGCUGGGAACACGCUCUGGUUUCUGCAGAGGAGAUAAGCAAGUCCUGGGGAGAACAUGGACGUUUGGCAGCCAGCGAGAAAGAAAGGAGGGGAAGGCCUGGAGAUUGGGGUGACAGCCCUUAUUGGUGUCACUGAAACGUGUGUGGUUAAUCUCAGUCCUUGGGAUCCACAUAAAACCACGUGAAUGUGCUUCUCAUCUAAUAAAUUAUAUAUGAAGGAUGCUGAAAGCAGGGCCUUGGAGAGAGAUGUGUGUACCCGUGUUCACAGUUCACAGCAGCAUUCCUCCAGUUACCAAGAGGUGGAAGCAACCCAAAGUCCAUCGAUGGAAAAAUGAUGACAGACGGGAUCUUCCCAGACGCACAGGAGCGGCGUCUCUUCUGUGCUUCCACCUGAAAUGCCCAACAACCGGAAUCCUCAUUUCAUGGAGAGCAAUAGACCACAAAUAAAGCCCGCAGACCUGAGACGCAUUUUCCGGGGAACAGCAGAGUUCGAUGAGAAUUGCGGAGGGUUUUCCACGAGUCACUCUCCCCGUGGUUCCUAGUGCUCACCUUCAGAAAGUCACGGCCACGUUUGGUGGCAAAGCUCCCUCACAUCUCUGAUUUCCUUGCUACAAGCUGAGAUUUGCAACUUGAAGUUUGGGACCUUCAUAGACAUAGUCUUCUCAAAGAGAUUUUUAAAAGCGUUUUUUUUUUUAAAUUUUUAAUUUUUUCCCUUAAAUCGGUGUCAUUUCUAAGGAAAUCUUGCCCUCUAGCUCUCAAAUCUUAAAAUUGAGCUCAACCUAGUGACAGAGCCACACAAUGGCAGAUAAACGGACAAUGAGCGCCAUCUACUGGGUUAUUGUCAUAGUCCCCCUCAACACAAGGAAAAAGAAAAAGCCAACAGAAAGAAGGGCUGAUGGAUUAUCUCAUGCUGUGAGAUAACACUGAUGAAUGUAUAUUUUCACCGUCAGCAGAUUUCCCAUUUCGCUUAUUUGUAGAGCUACUUUCUAUUGCGUCAUCUAUAUUUCCCUCCCCUCUCUAUAAAAGACAGCUGUCACUCAUGAAGAUCACAUGAUACAUCUCCAGCAGAUGUUUAAACUUCAUUCAUUUGUCAGAAAAUUACAAAGCAGCCACUCCUCAUUUUCUCAGCAAUUCCUGCUGGGAAUAAGGGAGAACGGAGAUCGCAGAAGGUGCGUGUACUUCAGACGUAAGCCCAAAUUAGUGAAUCCACCUGAUCAGCUCCCGGACCAGCAGGAACGCAGGUGCACUCGGGAUCAGCAACUGUAGGGUUGCACUGAAGGUGCUGUGAAAGCAAGCAGGUCAGCCUGGGACAGACACCCACCUGCCCACUGCGAAUUCACUUGAUUUGACUCCACUAUUCCGUAAAUGGCAUGAAUUAUUACAUAUGAGUAAAGGAAGAGACCAGAUUCGUUCCCAAUCAUGAAAAUGCAUUGUAGGAGUUGGGAAAAAUGGAACAAUUUUGUAACCUGGAUGGGAUAGACAGGGUGAGUUGAGCCUACUGUUUUGUUCAAAAUCUAAUAACGAUGGCUACCAGUGGGGAAGACAUUUCAUUUCACACCUUCUUAUCUAAUUUUGAAAGUUGGGUCAUGUUAAUGUACUAUUAUUAUUAUUAUUAUUUUGAGACAGAGUCUCACUCUGUCACCCAGGCUGGAGUGCAGUAGCACAAUCUUGGCUCACUGCAAACUCCACCUCCUGGGUUCAAGAGAUUCUCAUGUCUCAGCUUCCCAAGUAGCUGGGACUACGGGUGUGCACCACCGCACCUGGCUAAUUUUUAUACUUUUAGUAGAAACGGGGUUUUGCUGUGUUGGUCAGGCUGGUCUUGAACUCCUGGCCUCAAGUGAUCCACCUGCCUCAGCCUCCCAAAGUGCUGGGAUUACAGGUGUGAGCCACCACUCCCAACUGUGUUAUGUAUUUUCAAAAGAAGAAUACUGCUGGCACAUGGCACAUAUUCAGUUAGUUUUGUUGAAAUAAUGGAUCUGUGAAUGAACAUAAGAAUUUUUGUUGUUUGUUGUUUUGAGACAGAGUCUCUGUUGCUCAGGCUGGGGUGCAGUGGCAUGAUCUCAGCUCACUGCAACCUCCACCUCCUGGGUUCAAACGAUUCUUUUGCCUCAGCCUCCCAAGUAGCUGGGAUUACAGGCAUGCACCACCAUGCCCGGCUAACUUUUGUAAUUUUUGUAGAGACGGGGUUUUGCCUUUGAACAUAAUAAUUUGAUAGUGACAUAUGAUGGACAUGAUGAGACUGCUGGGGUGGCCCUACAGGAAGAACAGACGCCUCACUCAGCCUAAGGGGUGAGGGUCCCUCAUGAGUCAGCCUUCUAAAGAGCGUUCUGACCGGAGUUUCCCCAGCUCUGGAUGGGAGGGUACUCAGGUGAGGGGCCGCUAGGCAUUCAUUCAUUCACCCCUUAAAUACUUGCUAGGUGUUGCUUUGUGCAGGGUGCUGCACUCAGUACCAUGGAUAUAAAAGAGAACAAGGCAGAUGUGGUUCCUGCCCUCAGGGAGCUUACUGUCUUAGGCAGACUGAAUUCUUGGGUGUCUCGGCAGAGGGCACCCAAGGUGCACCUCUUGGGUGAGGGCAGCUCCCCUCAGUUUGGCUUCUAGCCCAGCUCUCUUGUGGGACUGUCUUGGGACCAGAGCAUGAUCAUCAGGAAAUCACACACGAGUCAUAACUCUACAGUUUCCAAUGUAAAGUUGUGAACGUGGAGUCCAGCAGGACCUGCAGCUCAUGGGGCUGGUUCUCUCAGCUCUCACUUUUUUCACUUAUGGGAGAAAGAAACUUCCAGGUCAUAGAGAGCAGACAAGAAGCACCCCAUUGACAAAGUUUGGGUGCUCUAAGCAGCAGUGAGGAAAACAGAUGUGGUUUUUCUGGCGGUAAAGGGGUAGCAAUGUGGAGACUGCCUAUCGUUUUUGACGUUUUACAAAGCACCCCGUCCCAUCCAUAUCCCUCUCCCCAUGGCCGUCUGCUUUGGGCUCCGGAGGGGAGUUUGACAGUGAUAGUCCAGUGGUCUUCCCAGCUUGUAAGGCACAGAAAUAUAGUUUGUUACUGUUUAUUGUAAACUAAUUGAACUCAUGAGAUGAUAACCUGGAAAACAUGUGGCAACUCAAUCUGUAUCUUGCAAAAAUAAGAGAUUUAUGUGCUCAGAUUAAAACUGACCUUCUAUUAAAGUUAUGUGUUUGAGAUUAAUUCCAAAACCGUAGCAGCAGUCCUGAUAAAAUGGAAAGUUUCCCGGAGCCUCUGAAGCUCAUUUACAGAAACAGACUUAGCUACCAGCUCGGCUGCAAAGUAAGAAUGUGGGUAGGAAAAGAUGGUAGAGAGAGAGAGAGAUGGUUCCCCGUGUGAAACUGCAGUGAUCUUAAUCCUCCAGACAGAGCAAAUCUAAUUUUAAAACACUCCUUUCUAUCCUAAGUCAUUCCCUUGGUGGCCCACAGCCCAAGAAGUGACCAAAAUCAGUAAUAAUAUUUCCAACAAUAAUUAGAGUUUACUAUGCUCAGAUAUUCCAUUUAUGUUUGCCUGGGCCCUGUGAGAAGGCAUCACUGCCCCGUGUUAAUGAUAAGUCACAGCUCUGUGCCUUGGCUUAGGUGGCCAUGCUCACAGGUGAGGGAGUUAGAGCUCCCACUAAAUCUUUUGGCACCACAUUUUCUGCACGUCCCGCCAUGCACAUGGUGAUCUCAGAAGGGCACCCCGUUUGAGGACUCUCCUCCUCCUGUCAUCACACUCACUCAUGAUGAAGCCCACCAUGUGUACGUAUUUAGCACUUUGAACUUGACCUGAUGUGGAUGUGCCAGGCGGUGCCCUGGGCGGUGGGAAUACAGACGUGAAAAGCAAUCCAAAGCAAAUUGUUCUGGAUAAAGAAACAGGUUCAGGGGAGUGAAGUGGUUUUCCUAAAGCCACACAGGUGGUGAACGGCUUUGCGUAAAGUCGUGGUAUUGUCAACCUUCCGUGAGUGCUCCGUUGUGGCUCUCUCCCGCAUCAGAGUAUAAGCUCCCAACGGGCAGAGAUCAUCCCUAACUCACAGGCCAUUGAGCAACCUGCCUAGAACAUUGGGUAGAUGCUAAAAAAUAAACCCCGAGACUCACAAAAUGACUUGCGAGUGACAGUGUAAGCACUUACAGGGUUACACGGGGUUAAAUAAAAUAUGAGCGAGAGAGGAGACCUAAAGAAACAGACUCUCCAUAGUGCCUUCACUCUAUGCUUAUUUAUACCUUAACUCAUCCCCAAAGUGGACUAAAAGAAAUUAUUCUAUGUUUUCUUCCAGAGUAACGUGGCUUGGUAUCAUAGAUAGCAAUUAUCUCGUUUAACCUUCAUGGCAUGUGACUGUGUGGAAUCCUGCAGGCAAUUGGGGCACUGUGGCGACUGUUUGCAUAUCUAAACAUAUCUAAGCAUAGAAAAAGGAUAGUAAAAACCCAGUAUUAUAAUAUUAUGGGACCACCAUCAUAUAUGCGGUCCAUCGCUGAGAUGUUGUUAUGUGGUGUGUGACUGUACAACUCCAGAAAGGUGUUAUGAUUCUCUUAAGCAGCCUCUUGAGGGAGGAAUAUGUUGUUGUCAUUGUUUUGGAUAAAUAAAUAAGCUCAGGGCUGGGUGCGGUGGCUCACACCUGUAAUCCCAGCACUUUGGGAGGCCAAAGUGGGUGCAUUGCUUGAGGCCAGGAGUUUGAGACCAGCUUGGCCAACAUGGUGAAACCCUGUCUCUACUAAAAAUACAAAAAUUAGCCAGGUAUGGUGGUGUGCACCUGUAGUCCCAGCUACUCAGGAGGCUGAGGCAGGAGAAUUGCUUGAGCCUGGGAGGUGGAGGCUGCAGUGAGCUGAGAUCAUGCCAUUGCACUUCAGCCUGGGCGACAGAACAAGACCCUGUCAAAAAAAGAAACAAAGAAAGAAGGAAGGGAGGGAGGGAGGGAGGAAGGAAGGAAGGGAAAAGAAGGAAGGAAAGAAAGGAAGGAAGGAAGAGAGAGAAAGAGAAAAGAAGGAAGAAAGAAGAAGGAAGGCAGGAAAGAAGGAAGGAAGCGAGAGAGAGAGAGAAAGGAAGGAAGGAAGGAAGGAAGGAAGGAAGGAAGGAAGGAAGGAAGGAAGGAAGGAAGGAAGAAGGUUCAGAGGGGUGAAGUGGUUUUCCCAAAGCCACACAGGUGGUGAACAGCUUAGCUAGACUGGCUCAAAGUCUGUUGAGUAACUCAGUGCUCCUGGCACCCCUUCUCACUGCUUCUCCAUCAGGGACUUUGGAGACAAAAUAUCAUAGCCUCCUGGGUGUAGGGUGGAGAAAACAGAGGUCCGGGCCCACAGGUCUUGUUGGUAGGUGAGUGGGGAGCUGAGUGACAUUGGAGGGGCCUCCACCCGGCCCAUGGGCAGGAGAUUUCACAGGGCUGUGAGUGGCCCCUGGAAGACCCAGGGCUAACUGACCUGACAGCAGGUCACCUCCCACAGCGUUGCCAGUGGCAAGCUAUGGGUUUCACAUCUGGCUGUUGAUACAGUCAUUGAGUGUGGUACGAUGACAAAUAAGGAGGCAGAAGUUAAUGAUGUGUCGCCUGGUUAAGCAGGGCUUGCCACGCCUCAUUAGAUUUAAAAGAGUUAUCUGAGACAGGGUAAUUAUCAGAGACAGUAAAACUGUUGUAUUAAAAGAUAAAAAAGCCAGUAUCAAAGAGAAAUAAUUAACUGCUUAAUAGGACAUGUGUUGAGCUGCUUGGCUUGGUCCCGGGAAUCAGACUCUGAGAGGCUGCAGGGGACCUUUCGGCAGGGUGGGGCCUCCCACGACCCAAGCCAUUUGGGAUCACACCCUUCUAACUGGACUUUCAGCGUGGACUGGGAUCAAAGGAGGGAAGUCACAUGAGAAAAAUCAAGGUCAUCCCACACAAACUAUAUUGAUGGGCACUUCAAUUUCUUUCUUUUUCUUUUUCUUUUUUUUUUUUUUUUUGGGGAGAUGAGUGUCACUCUGUCACCAGGCUGGAGUGCAGUGGUGUGAUACCAGCUCACUGCAACCUCCGCCUCCCGGGUUCCAGUGAUUCUCCUGCCUCAGCCUCCUGAGUAGCUGGGACUACUCGGGCGUGCCACCACACCCAGCUAAUUUUUGCAUUUUUGGUAGAGACGGUGUUUCACCAUUUUGGCCAGGAUGGUCUCGAUCUCUUGACCUCAUGAUCUGCCUGCCUCGGGCUCCCAAAGUGCUGGGAUUACAGGCCUGAGCCACUGAGCCCGGCCAAACAUCAAUUUCUUUCUUUCAUUUUUUUUUUGACACGGA
rnacentral:lncRNA from 1 species